UGUAUCUGUUAUCAUGAUUUAUAGCCUUCAUUCCUUAAAAUUAAUGGACCAGUUAGACAUGAGGACUUUGCAUUCUUUCUUUUUCUAGGUUCUUCAAUAUCCCUCAUUUUCCUUUUAUAUUCACUUUUGGGACUCAAGAAUAUGGCAGACUACUUGAGUGCCCGCAAAUCAUUUUGACGUUACAUAUGUAUUUCUGAGGUACUGUCCCAGUUUAAAAGAAAAUGUAGAGUUAGCUCAGUGCUUCAGAUGUGGCCAACUGAUUGAGGUAAGUCAGGAAGACAGUAAUAUCUACAUUUACCUACUCCCUAUCCGGUGCCAAAAGAAGAAAAGGCUAAGAUUAAAGAUGAUGAGAAGGUGCUUCCCAGGUCCAGUUUUGCUUCCACACAAUGCCUGCUACACAAGUCCAGAUGACUCCAUUUUACUUGGAGACUCAGCACAAAGGAGCUAGAAUUCUGGCAACCCGGUGAGCCACUGGAAGUCCCUGUCAGAGUGGCUCUCAGUAAAUGGUCCUAGUUGGUCCUUCUGCAUCAGGAAGAGCCAUUCUGAUGAACUGAGGAAGUGGAUGCUGGCCCUGGAGGUGAGUGCUUGCCAUUUAAAACUCCUGCAGUCUGACGCAGCUGUCCCUGCUCGUCCCCAAGCCCAGCAGACCUGGGCCCCAGAUGCACCCUUGUUUGGGUGUCCACAUCAGACCCUUCUUCUCUUUGACUUGGAUGCUUCUUAAAGGGUUCUUAGCCUCAUCAUCUCACCUCCCUGCUCUUCUCUAUCAGCUCACAGUGGCCCGCCUGACUCUGGAAAAGGGCUUUGAACUAGAAGAACCUUGUUGAACUUGAGAGGAAGUCGCAUUUUUCUUCGUUUGCCUACCAGAGUUUUCUGAAAACUUGGCUUAAAAGUGCUAACGUUGAAGAGUCCAGAUAGAUGCGUAGCAACAGGAUAUUACAGACACUUUCAAUUCGACAAUGUGUGAGAGAGCUGGGCUUUGGCGUGUCAGCUUCCUGAUAGUGUCCCGUAUCUGCUCAGAACCAGUCACACGGUGCUGAUCUGUGAGAUACUGUUUAUUAAAUGCAGGAUUUUUGCUUUCUCACUUGUUAGAUAAGGAGAAACAACAGGGCAUGCUUGCAGGAAGCCAGAAAUUCCAAGUUGCUAUGUUAUGUCCCCUUCCCAGGGGGGGUUUGGAUCGUGGAGGGACCGGUAUCUCCUCUUCCUGAAUACCUACUGUGUGCCAGAUGGUGAACUAAAGGUUCUGCUCAUAUCAUUUCCUUCAUUCUCUGCAGCAAUCCUGUGCUCGUCAUCCUUAGUCUACAGACCAGGGAUGUACAUUUCCAGAGCUGUUGAAUGACUUUCCUGAAAUCAUCCAGCUUUCAAGCUACGGAACUGAUAUUCAAGUCCAGUUUUCCUGUCUUAGUCACAGCACAGCGUGAACGACCCACACAGUAGUGUUUAUUCUAGAAAACCGAAAAAGGUGCACUACAGGAUUCGGCAUUCCCAGAAAAGAGUGUGCUCCUUGGCAUCCAUCUCUGCUCUGGGAAGAUACUUUUCCAAAGAAGUUUCUGCCGUGGCAUUUGCUUCCUCCAUGUAGAUGGUACCAGGCACCCAUUGUGUCAGCUCAUUCACUAUCUUCAAACCCACUUGGAAUGUGUCAUUUCUGAAUUUCCGUGUAACCUUGGGGUUUAGGAAUGUCACUUGUUUUUUCCUGUUCUUUCUGGAAGCCUCUGUUCCAAAUCAGAGAGGAAAAUGCCAUUCAGGUGUUCACAAGAUUCAUUAAAAGCGCCAUCUAGCUUUGGAAAAGGAUUGCAAAUGAAGGUUAAAGGUUCCCUUAGGACCCAGACCCCAUAGCCACAAGUGAGUGAUGACUGGGAGUUACAGACGUGAAAGUGAGGAGGACAAGGACUGAGGUGGGCAGAAGAAAGAAAGACAUGUGCCCCCCAAAUGAAGAGUGGGAGCGCCUCUGCUGUAUUCUUGUAGUAUUCUGCAUUUCCCCUCCUGAGGCAUUAAAGUUGCUGGUUCUCUUGUCUUCCCCUGUGGAUUGUGACCCCUUGUGAGGUAAAUGAUACCUGCCAUUUACGAAGUACUCAACAAAUAAUGAAUGAAUGAAUGAAUGAAUGAAUGAGAGUUCUGAUCUCCAAUUCAGGCUACAUAAGUAAAUAAAUAAAUAUCUCAAAACUAAA